GAUGAACGCUGGCGGCGUGCCUAAUACAUGCAAGUCGAGCGAACAGACGAGGAGCUUGCUCCUCUGACGUUAGCGGCGGACGGGUGAGUAACACGUGGAUAACCUACCUAUAAGACUGGGAUAACUUCGGGAAACCGGAGCUAAUACCGGAUAACAUGUUGAACCGCAUGGUUCAACAGUGAAAGACGGUCUUGCUGUCACUUAUAGAUGGAUCCGCGCCGCAUUAGCUAGUUGGUAAGGUAACGGCUUACCAAGGCAACGAUGCGUAGCCGACCUGAGAGGGUGAUCGGCCACACUGGAACUGAGACACGGUCCAGACUCCUACGGGAGGCAGCAGUAGGGAAUCUUCCGCGAUGGGCGAAAGCCUGACGGAGCAACGCCGCGUGAGUGAUGAAGGUCUUCGGAUCGUAAAACUCUGUUAUUAGGGAAGAACAAAUGUGUAAGUAACUAUGCACGUCUUGACGGUACCUAAUCAGAAAGCCACGGCUAACUACGUG
rnacentral:rRNA from 1 species